CCCGGCCAGUGUGAUCACCAAAGUUAAGCAUCAUUGAGCCUGGUGAGUACUAAGAUGAGUGACUCCUUGGUAAUACCAGGUGCUGUAA